rnacentral:rRNA from 1 species
AGUGAACGCUGGCGGUAGGCCUAACACAUGCAAGUCGAACGGCAGCACAGUAAGAGCUUGCUCUUACGGGUGGCGAGUGGCGGACGGGUGAGGAAUACAUCGGAAUCUACUUUUUCGUGGGGGAUAACGUAGGGAAACUUACGCUAAUACCGCAUACGACCUACGGGUGAAAGCAUGGGAUCUUCGGACCUUGCGCGAUUGAAUGAGCCGAUGUCGGAUUAGCUAGUUGGCGGGGUAAAGGCCCACCAAGGCAACGAUCCGUAGCUGGUCUGAGAGGAUGAUCAGCCACACUGGAACUGAGACACGGUCCAGACUCCUACGGGAGGCAGCAGUGGGGAAUCUUGGACAAUGGGCGCAAGCCUGAUCCAGCCAUCCCGCGUGGGUGAAGAAGGCCUUCGGGUUGUAAAGCCCUUUUGUUGGGAAAGAAAAGCAGCAGGUUAAUACCCCGCUGUUCUGACGGUACCCAAAGAAUAAGCACCGGCUAACUACGUG